AUAGCAUUAUAUACAAAUACUUUGUAUUUAGAUCAUUUCCACCCGUUGCCUCUUAAGGCCCCUCAUACUCUUGCCAACCACCAGCAUUUGAUGUCAUUUAUUUUCUUAACAAUAGGCAGUCUGAUAUCAAUGAAUAGAUUGAAUCUCAGAGUAAUUUUGAUUUGCAUUUUUGAUGCCUAAUGAUGUUAAACACUUUUUAAAAUAUUUACUGGUCAUUUUGGUUGGUUGGUUGGUUGGUUGGUUUUGGUUUUUUUCUUUGUUUUGAUUUUGGUUUUGAGAAUUCUCUGUUUAAUUCGCUAGUCAGUUUUUUAAGUUAGGUUGUCUGUUUUCUUGACUGUUAGUCUUUUUAUAUACUUUAUAUAUUCUUUCUGCUUUUACUUUUUAAUUCUUUGUGAGUUUCCCAUGCACCCCACUCAUCUCCUUGUUCCUCAUGUCCACCCUUUGCCCUUGUAGCUGGCAAAGAGUUUCUCCUGAUCUGUUGACAUCUCGGCUCAGUAACUGUUUUCUCUGUUAUAGAAAAGUCGCAGCCCUAUUUUCCAACCAUAGGUCUUAUAACCUGAGUAACUGCAGAAAUUUUUUACUUAAGCUUGUGUUUUCUAGAGUCUGUAUUCUAGUUUAUUAUUCAAUAUAAUUCUUCAAUGUUCCACAGUUGGCAUCAUAGAAGUUUUUCACUUCCUAGGUUAUGUUUAUUGCAAGGUGCUUUUUGUUUGCUUCUUUGCUUGUUUUAAGGGUAAUGUGAAUGGAAUUGUUUCCCUGAUUUUUCCCCUCAGUGUAUGUAUUAUUGGUAUAUAGGAAUGCUACACAUUUUUGUGUAUUAAUUUUGUUAUCUUUCCAUGAUGCUGAAAGUCUGUGAGUUUUCUGGUGGAGACUUUUAGGUCUGUUGUUGUUAUUGAUGAUGGUGGUGGUGAUGGUGUUCUUUGGGUUUUGGGGAGCAGUGAAUUUGUUUUGUUUUGUUUCUCUGUUUAACAGUUUUGGCUGUGCUGGCCUGGAACUCACAGAGAUCCACCAACCUCUGCCUCCCGAGUACUGGGAAUAAAUGCGUGUGCUGAGGUCUGUUCUUAUGUAGAGUACUAUCAUCUACAAAUAUGGAUCUUAGACUUGCCCUUUUUCUAUGUGUAUCCCUUUAUUUAUCUCCUUUGAGUCUGGCUGUACUAGCUAAGACUUGCAGUAGGGUUCCGAAUAGGAGUUGGAAAGGUGCACACCCUGCCUGCUUAGAACUUUACUGUAGAACUCCUUCAGGAAUAGACAUAUUGCUCAUUGUCAGCCACAUUAACAAACGAAAGGGAAAUAGUUUCAGUUUGUACGGAAAAGGCAUCUGACAAAGUCUAACAUGUACUCCUAAUUUUAAAAACUCAGUAUACCAGAAGUAAAAAAAAGUUUCCUCCACACAAUAAAGAAACAUUUAGAAAACCUCAGUGGUGAAAGAAUGAAAGUUUUUCUUCCAAGACUAGGUGCCACGGACUGGGCUCAUUGGGCCCUCCUCAAUCCAUGCAAAUCAAGGUCUCGGACAGAUGGGCAUAGAGUUGGUGGGCGUGGGGGUGACAAACAGACUGGACAGGAGAGACUAUGUUGAAUCUGAGUGUAAUUUGUCAAAUCGAGCAUCAAACUUUUUAUACAGAAGAAUAACAAGAAACCAUGUGACAUAUCCGCAGAGUUACAGUGACACAAAACAUAAGGAAUGUAUACAUCAAAAGAUGGCGGGAGGGGGCUGGUGAGAUGGCUCAGUGGUUAAGAGCGCCAACUGCUCUUCCGAAGGUCCCGAGUUCAAAUCCCAGCAACCACAUGGUGGCACACAACCAUCCCUAAUGAAAUCUGAUGCCCUUUUCUGGAGUAUCUGAGGAGAGCUACAGUGUACUUACAUAUAGUAAAUAAAUAAAUCUUUAAAAAAAAAAAAAAAAAAGAUGGCGGGAACCAGGCUGCUGUUUACCACUAAGAAGGGAGCCAGGUGUAAUGCUAGUCUAUUGUUAAGCCCACCACCAGGGGUUCUUAGUAAAUGCCUGAUUAUGCUGUUUCUUUGGGCCUAGUGAAGAAACCUGUCUCAGGGGGAUUCCCUAACUCUUACAUUUUAAACCCACCUAUUUGCUCGGCCAUUGUGUAUUCCCUUGUUUGGGUUAGACUUGGCUACUGUCCUAAGUCCUAAGUAAUCACUCUGCAGACUAGCCCUGAGCUAUUCUAGCUCUGUUCUUUGUAAUGCCUAAUUAGUUUCACCUUCUCUGCUAGAAGUAAAUUUGAAUGUUACUGAAUAGGUAACCUUCUCACAGAAUUCCUACUGAAUUCCAAGCUCAUUGGCUUCAAGGGUUUUCUAGGACGUUGGAACACUGGUGGAGGCUUACCUAUGUUAAAAUUCAAUCUUUAAAGGCACUUAUAAUAAAAUAAUACUGAAAGAGAGCAUACACCAUACUAACGUGGGGAUAGGGUUUGAGUAUAUGGGUUAUGAGAAUGCCAAGGUUCCAGGAGGCUGAGUUUCCUCGAAACUCUGCCUCAUGACUGCUUCCAGGCCUUUUGACCUUGACAGGCAGACUUCACUGGAGUGGGCAUAGCAACUAGGAAGAAAAUGAAGUGCCAUCACCACUUUUCUUCAGGGUAAUAUUAGCAUUUCUAGCCAGACCACUUAGGAAAAAAGGGAACAGGCAGCAAGGAGAAAAUAGAUUGCCUACUGUGUAUUCAAAUGCAGAAGAAUGAAAUUGACCCAAAGGACUAAGUAUAAAACCUCACCGGGUAGGCAGACAUUCUGAUCACAUUUAGUUUGACAGUGAUCCCCUGAAAUUGGUGCCAAAAGCAUGCACAACAAAAGAUGAUUGAAUGGGACUUUAUUAAUGUUGAAAUUCUUAAUGCACCAAAAAUCACCUUCAACUGAGUAGAGGUAAUCUACAUAAUGGAAGAAAGUAUUUUCAAAUAUUUGAUUUAAUAUCCAGGGGCUGAGAAGGUAGCUCAGUGGUUAAAGUGCUUGCUAUGGAAGUAUGAGGACCUGAGUGUGAGCUUGAUACUCAGUGAGAAAUCCUAUCUCAAAAUAUAAAGUAGUGAGCUAGAAAGAUGGCUCAGUGGUUAAGAGUACUGCCUGCUCUUCCAGAGGACCUGGGUUUGAUUCCCUUCAAGCACGGGGUGGCUCCCAACCAUCUGUAACUCAAGUUCCAGAGAAUCCAAGGCAAACAAAAAAUAUACCAGGCAGUGGUGGCACAUGAUUUAAUCCAAGCCUGAGAGAGGCAGAGGAGGCAGAUCUGAGUUAGAGGCCAGCUUGGCCUGCAGAGCAAGUUCUAGGACAGCCAGUGUCAAACUAAGAAACCCUGUCUUGAAAAACCAAGCAAACAAAAAAGCAACUAGAAGAGCAAUGCCCUCUUCUGGCCACUUCAGGUGCCUAGAACACAUGUACAUAUAUAGAAACAUAUAUACACAAAUAUAUGGAAAGUGCAGGUGAUUGAAGAAGACAAUUGAGGUCAGUUCUGACUUCUGCAUAUGAUCUCAGACAUAUACAUGAACACGGGAUAUAUAUACACAGAGACUACACAGAAUAACUGAAGAAUUUGAAAAUUGAAUAAUU
rnacentral:lncRNA from 1 species